CAGUCCAAAAGUGAACGACUUGUAUGGCAAUAGAUGAGUGUUUUUCCUCUCUCUCUUUCUCUUCUUUCUUUCUGUUUUUGUCUGUCUCUUUAUCUCUCUCUGUCUCUCUCUUUCCGUCUCUCUCUUUCUCUCUCACUCUCUCUCUUUUCCUCUUUCUUUCACUUUCUCUCUCUUUCUCUCACUCUCUCUCUUUCCCUCCCCUUUUCUCUCUCUUUCCUCUUUCUCUCUCUCUUUUCUUUCUCUUUUCCUCUUUCACUUGCUUUCUCUUCCUCCUUCCCUCUCCCUCCCUCUCUUUAAAAAGUCUCUCUUUAUCUCACUCUCUCUCUCUUUCCCUCCCUUUUUCUCUCUUCUCUUUCUCUCUCUCUCUCUCUUUCUCUCUCUUUUCCUUUUCUUUUUCCUCCUUCCCUCUCCCUCCCUCUCUUUAAGAAGUCUCUCUUUAUCUCACUCUCUCUCUUUCCCUCCCCUUUUUUCUCUCUCUUCUCUUUCUCUCUCUCUCUUUCUCUCUCUUUUCCUUUCCUUUUUCCUUUUUCUCUCUCCCUCUCUCUCCCCCACACACAAACACACACGAUUUCUCAAGGCAACCUGCAUGGCCAUCUCGGUCCUUCAUUAAGGAUUUCCUUGAAAUCCAUGCCUGCUUCCUUAGCCUGCUUUUCCUGGCCCUGCCUAAUCACUGUUUUGUUGUUCUCCGGGGUUCAUGUUUAAAAGCAGCACAAGGCAGUUUGUGAACAGGAAUGGAAAGAUAAGGCAUGAAUCUGCCAGUUCAAAGGUCUCCCUUCAUUUCCUGCCCUGGAAGAUGCACACUGGCUGGGGAAAUUAAGUCCUUGUUUGAUUUUUAAUGAGGUUGGUCCACUUAUUUUUAAUUUUUAUUCUUAAUUUUUUUUAGAGGGCCUUCGAAGCGCUUGAAACGCUCUGACUGCAUGGUGGGAAGUGGAAGGAUUUAUGCUCUUGGCAGACAGCUGGUCAUUUGCAUCCGUUUGGAGGGUCAUUGAGGCCACUUGGAGGUUCGUCUGUGUCCUCACCCAAGUAGUGCAAAUGGGCGUCACAGGCAUCAUCUGUCUCCAGUCUACAACGUGGUUCUUUCAUCAGUUCCACAACCAUUUGCACCACUCAGAAGACCCUGAGGACACAGAUAUACCUCCAAGUGGCCUCAACGACCCUCUAAAAGGAUGCAAAUGACCAGCUGCCUGCAAGGGGUAUCAGUCCUUCCCUUCUCCACCCUCCAGUCAGAACUGAAGAAGUUUGUGGAAUGAGAAGCGAAGUGUCUUCAAAAGACAAAAGAUAAGAAAGUCCAAUUGCCUCCUGAAAAAAAAGCACUUUUGGGACAACCAAGACUUGGACGGCUGAGAAUCUCUAAAGACUUUUUUGCCAUACAAUUUGGGAUAAACACCCUUUGAACGGGGUGGGAGUAAGGAACGGAUUUCCAGA
rnacentral:lncRNA from 1 species